GCAGACACAUUCCAGCCAAUCAGCAGCAGACCCUCCCUCCCAGACCCUCCCACCUCAUGGACAGCAUCCAUUUUACAUUCAUUGUGAAGCUGUAUUCUUAGUGAGCUGUCCAGGAGGUGGGAGGAUCUGGGAGGGAGGGUCUGCUGCUGAUUGGAUGGAAUGUGUCUG